rnacentral:lncRNA from 1 species
UUCCCAAACUUUCCCUUUCCUUCUCAACCUGCCACCCCUUCAUCGCCCUAAAUUCAUUCAAGAAAUCAAUACAACCCCCCACCUUAUUCUACGGCCUUACUGCGCUGAAAAAAAAAACUAAAUUCAUCGCUAUGCUUUCUCUUUUCGAUACACCUUUUUCACCGCAUAAACACUCGAAACCAAACUAGAUCGGAAAAAUUGUUUCACUUCAGUAAAAUUAGAUCUCACAAAACCUGGUCAUCACUUGCCAUCCACAACCAUCUCCAUCCCAAAAUCCGAACCUGUAAGCAAGAGGAUCAUCAGUUGAGUUCGAAUUUAGGGCUGGAACCGGAUGACGUUGAGCAUCGGACUUGAGAUUCUUCAAAUUGUUGAUUUUAUCGACCAAAUCAAGUGUUCCUACUGGAGUAGCGACCUGAGGAAGUAGCGGCAACCUAAGUGGAGUUCAACAAGGGUGUCGAUUCAACCAGGGGUAAAAAGACUUUAUUGCUCUCACAUGAGGAAUAUGACAACGAUGACGAUAACGGCUUCCGCUAACAUAGAUGAUGAUGUUUCGGAUAUGAUGAUGACGACUUCCGCUGUCCGGAUGUCCAACACUUAGGCCUA